rnacentral:rRNA from 1 species
CCUACGGGAGGCAGCAGUAGGGAAUCUUCCACAAUGGACGAAAGUCCGAUGGAGCAACGCCGCGUGAGUGAUGAAGGUUUUCGGAUCGUAAAACUCUGUUGUAAGGGAAGAACACGUACGAGAGGAAAUGCUCGUACCUUGACGGUACCUUACGAGAAAGCCACGGCUAACUACGUGCCAGCAGCCGCGGUAAU